rnacentral:rRNA from 1 species
UCGGGAAUUUUGGGCAAUGGGCGAAAGCCUGACCCAGCAACGCCGCGUGAAGGAUGAAGUAUUUCGGUAUGUAAACUUCGAAAGAAUGGGAAGAACUCAAUGACGGUACCAUUUAUAAGCUCCGGCUAACUACGUGCCAGCAGCCGCGGUAAUACGUAGGGAGCAAGCGUUGUUCGGAUUUACUGGGCGUAAAGGGCGCGUAGGCGGCAAAUUAAGUCAGCUGUGAAAUCUCCGAGCUUAACUCGGAACUGUCAGCUGAUACUGAUCUGCUAGAGUGCGGAAGGGGCAAUCGGAAUUCUUGGUGUAGCGGUGAAAUGCGUAGAUAUCAAGAGGAACACCUGAGGUGAAGACGGGUUGCUGGGCCGACACUGACGCUGAGUGCGCGAAAGCCAGGGGAGCAAACG